GGGGAAACUGAGACAGCUGAGGUAGAAGAAGAGGCAAAGGCAGAAGCUGGGCAGGAGAGGAGAGGCUUCAGGCCCGUCAAGGGUCUGCUUUGACUCUGCUCCAUGUCAUCAUUCUGAGAACCAGAGGGAAAGGGCAGUCCCUGCCUGGAACACGCUGAGUCCACAGCAGCAGAAAGACCCACUGCAGAACCUCACAAUGGCUUUCAUUGCUCACAUGCCCAGAUGUGAUGGUGAUGAGGUGGGAAAUGUAAUCGGCAGAGGAGCAGUUGAGAAGGGGGGCAACGAGUAUUCACAAGUAAGAAUACAGUCUGGUAUAGGAUUUUACUUCAAUGUGUAUUAGAACAAGGUAUAAGUGUGUAUGUGUAGGUAUGGAGAGGGAGAGAGAAUGAUAGAACAAGUGGGGCAAAAUGGAUUCAGUUGGCAGGUCUGGGUGAAGAGGUGUAUGGACAUUCUUUGCAAUCUUUCUGUAAAGUUUAGAAUAAUGUGAAAAUAAAAAGUUCCAAGUACA